UCCCGCCGCUUUGCNGUUGCCUGAUCCCGGCAGCUUUGCUUCUUGCUAGUGGAUCCUGAGCGAACGAGCUCCCGACUUAGAAGUUGCCUUCACCUGAAUCGAAGCCGCCGUUUCCUUUCCGACAGCCGGAGGACUCGAGGGAAGGCAAGCGUAGGAAGCUGGAAUAGGAGAAAGUUACCUGCAAUGCCGACCCAAAGGAAAGCGAGCUGCUAGGUGUGCGCGGUGUGGCCUCCAGCCGGUCCGAGUUAAGCACGCUGUAAUCCCGGGAAGCGUGGGACGCCAGCCUCCUCGACGCAAGGGGGAGAGCGCUCAGCUUUUGGCUGCCCCUUGCGAGGCUGCCGGCAUGCUCGGACUCAGGAGCUCUCCUCCAAGCCAAGUUCCAUUCAAAGAAAUCUCCCCUCACUUCGCCCCGUUCCCCUCCCCACCCCUCUCGGCGUUUCCCAUUGUUAAGCAGCAGUUUUGAACUUGAGGACCGAACGCCGGGCAAGGACUUGGGGAGGAGAAAAGAUGAGUUGGAGACGGGGCGGUGGGGGAAGAGAAAUGCAGGCUGGCCGCAUCAUCUAGUCUGCUGAAGAGAUCCAGUGAAGACCCCCCUGGCCCCCUUUCCCUCUGGCAGGUNUUGGGGCUGAAAUCUUCUCUCCCUCCCCAGCAUAUUUGCCACUGCUUGCCCAUCACUGUGGGGGCCGAGAGGAGUUUGACAGCUCUUUGU
rnacentral:lncRNA from 1 species